rnacentral:rRNA from 1 species
GACGAACGCUGGCGGCAUGCCUAACACAUGCAAGUCGAGCGAGUUGAUUUCUUCGGAAUGAAGCUAGCGGCGGACGGGUGAGUAACACGUGGGCAACCUGCCUCAUAGAGGGGAAUAGCCUUCCGAAAGGAAGAUUAAUACCGCAUAAGAUUGUAGUACCGCAUGGUAUAGCAAUUAAAGGAGUAAUCCGCUAUGAGAGGGGCCCGCGGCGCAUUAGCUAGUUGGUGAGGUAACGGCUCACCAAGGCGACGAUGCGUAGCCGACCUGAGGGGGGGAGCGGCCAAAUUGGGACUGAGACACGGCCCAGACGCCUACGGGAGGCAGAAGUGGGGAAUAUUGCACAAUGGGGGAAACCCUGAUGCAGCAAUGCCGCGUGAGUGAUGACGGCCUUCGGGUUGUAAAGCUCUGUCUUCGGGGACGAUAAUGACGGUACCCGAGGAGGAAGCCACGGCUAACUACGUGCCAGCCGCCGCCGUAA